rnacentral:rRNA from 4 species
AAAAGCUCGUAGUUGGAUCUCAGCUCCGGCCGGACGGUCCGCCUACCGGUGGUUACUGUUCGUCGCCGAGCGUUCAGGCGGUUAUUCUUGAUGAUCUUCACCGGUUGUCUCGGGUGACCGCCAAGUUUACUUUGAAAAAAUUAGAGUGCUCAAAGCAGGCGUGACGCCUGAAUAAUUGUGCAUGGAAUAAUGGAAUAGGACCUCGGUUCUAUUUUGUUGGUUUUCGGAACACGAGGUAAUGAUUAAGAGGGACAGACGGGGGCAUUCGUAUUGCGACGCUAGAGGUGAAAUUCUUGGACCGUCGCAAGACGAACUACUGCGAAAGCAUUUGCCAAGAAUGUUUCCAUUAAUCAAGAACGAAAGUUAGAGGUUCGAAGGCGAUCAGAUACCGCCCUAGUUCUAACCAUAAACGAUGCCAGCCAGCGAUCCGGCUGUGUUCCUCAAAUGACACGCCGGGCAGCUUCCGGGAAACCAAAGCUUUUGGGUUCCGGGGGAAGUAUGGUUGCAAAGCUGAAACUUAAAGGAAUUGACGGAAGGGCACCACCAGAAAUGGAGCCUGCGGCUUAAUUUGACUCAACACGGGAAAACUUACCCGGCCCGGACACAGGAAGGAUUGACAGAUUAAGAGCUCUUUCUUGAUUCUGUGGGUGGUGGUGCAUGGCCGUUCUUAGUUGGUGGGGCGACUUGUCUGGUUAAUUCCGAUAACGAACGAGACUCUAGCCUACUAAAUAGACGUUCCCAUCAUCUUUUGUGGGACGUUCUUCUUAGAGGGACAAGCGGCGUUUAGCCGCACGAGACAGAGCAAUAACAGGUCUGGGAUGCCCUUAGAUGUCCGGGGCCGCACGCGCGCUACAUUGAAGGAAUCAGCGUGUGCUUUCCCUGUCCGAAAGGACUGGGUAACCCGUUGAACCUCCUUCGUGCUGGGGAUUGGAAACUGUAAUUGAUUCCAUGAACGAGGAAUUCCCAGUAAGCACGAGUCAUCAGCUCGUGUUGAUUACGUCCCUGCCCUUUGUCCACACCGCCCGUCGCUACUACCGAUUGAAUGAUUUAGUGAGGUCUUCGGACUGGCGCUCGGAUUGGCCUUCGUGGUCGAGCCGGUGUGCCGGAAAGAUGACCAAACUUGAUCAUUUAGAGGAAGUAAAAGUCGUAACAAGGUUUUC